rnacentral:tRNA from 1 species
GGUAUGGUAGUAUAGUGGCAGUAUGUUGGGUUGUCACCCCUUCGAUUCGGGUUCAAUUCCCGGCCAUACCG